rnacentral:rRNA from 1 species
UACGGGGGGAGCAAGCGUUGUUCGGAUUUACUGGGCGUAAAGGGCGCGUAGGCGGCCUCUGCAAGUCGACUGUGAAAUCUCCGGGCUUAACCCGGAAAGGUCAGCCGAUACUGCAGGGCUAGAGUGCAGAAGGGGCAACUGGAAUUCUCGGUGUAGCGGUGAAAUGCGUAGAUAUCGAGAGGAACACCUGCGGCGAAGGCGGGUUGCUGGGCUGACACUGACGCUGACAGCGCGAAAGCCAGGGGAGCGAACGGG